rnacentral:rRNA from 1 species
CAGUAGCCACGGUAAAACGUAGGGUGCAAGCGUUAAUCGGAAUUACUGGGCGUAAAGCGUGCGCAGGCGGUUUGUUAAGACAGAUGUGAAAUCCCCGGGCUCAACCUGGGAACUGCAUUUGUGACUGGCAAGCUAGAGUGUGGCAGAGGGGGGUGGAAUUCCGCGUGUAGCAGUGAAAUGCGUAGAUAUGCGGAGGAACACCUAUGGCGAAGGCAGCUCGCUGGAACGUUACUGACGCUGAGACGCGAAAGCGUGGGGAGCAAACAGGAUUAGAUACCCCUGUAGUCCCUGUCUCUUAUAC